ACACCAUCUUUAUGGCAGAAAGUGAAGAAGAACUAAAGAGCCUCUUGAUGAAAGUGAAAGAAGAGAGUGAAAAAAAUGGCUUGGAUUUUUGGAGCAGGGAGUUGGAAUAGGAGCUUGCUCCGUCCACUCCACGCAUCGACCUGGUAUUGCAGUACUUCCAGGAACGGUGCACCAGAG
rnacentral:snRNA from 1 species